CGCAACGAGCGCAACCCUAUUCGUAAUUGCCAUCGCGUUAAGGCGGGCACUUUACGAGAACUGCCGCUGAUAAAGCGGAGGAAGGUGGGGAUGACGUCAAGUCCUCAUGGCCCUUAUGGGCGGGGCUACACACGUGCUACAAUGGCGGCGACAGAGAGAAGCGAAUGGGCGACAGGAAGCAAUCUCAAAAGCCGUCUCAGUUCAGAAU
rnacentral:rRNA from 1 species